rnacentral:rRNA from 1 species
AGAGUUUGAUCCUGGCUCAGGACGAACGCUGGCGGCGUGCUUAACACAUGCAAAUCGAACGGACAGAGAUGGAAGCUUGCUUCUAUCAAAGUUAGUGGCGGACGGGUGAGUAACGCGUGGGUAACCUGCCUUUAAGAGGGGGUUAACACUUCGAAAGGAGUGCUAAUACCGCAUAACAUUAUUUUACUGCAUGGUAGAAUAAUCAAAGGAGCAAUCCGCUUAAAGAUGGACCCGCGUCUGAUUAGCUAGUUGGUGAGGUAACGGCUCACCAAGGCGACGAUCAGUAGCCGGCCUGAGAGGAUGAUCCGCCACACUGGGACUGAGACACGGCCCAGACUCCUACGGGAGGCAGCAGUGGGGAAUUUUGGACAAUGGGCGCAAGCCUGAUCCAGCCAUGCCGCGUGUCUGAAGAAGGCCUUCGGGUUGUAAAGGACUUUUGUCCGGGAGCAAAGCCUACUUGUUA